CAGCAUUCUGGGAGGUGUAGUCCAGACGCUCUGUGUGGUGGCGUGCACUUCCGCUCCGGAAGGCAGGUCUAGUGCAUUCUGGGAGGUGCAGUCCAGACCAUCUGUGUGGUGGCGUGCACUUCCGCUCAGGAAGGUGCGUCUUGUGCGUUCUGGGAAGUGUAGUCCAGGAGUUCCGUGGUCUCACUGGCACUUCCGUUGGGAGAGUGUGAGGUUGCUCCUGAAUUUUCUUUGGGAGGUGCGUCAGUUCCGCCUCUCCUGGCGCUUCCAAACUUCCUGGAUCUGUGCUUGGAACCUGCGGCGACCGGGCGAUUUAGGGGAAAAGAAGCCUGGGCCGAGUACGCAGGGCUGCACAGAGGUGGAAGGCGCGACUCCUUGGCUGCUGACAGCAAGGUUCCACGCGCCCUGCGAGGUGCAGCUCUGCCUUUCUGGGAUCUGUGCAACUCGGGACUCUGCACACGCCUGGAAGUAAAAGGACACGUGACCAUGUUCAAGAUCAACUCUGAAAACAGUCUGCCAGCUUUUUGUCCUCACGUUUGAUUCGUGCCAGGUGGGCUGGCUUUUAGGUGGACUGUCCAACCACAGGCUCAGCAGAGCCGCUGGAAGUGCCGCUUCACACGGACGUGGCUGCAGGUUUGCACACAGCGAGAGCUGGAUUCCGCCUUCCCCCUGCCUCGGGCCUCCUAUUGGCCAGUGACUUGCAUUCUGUGCAUUGGCUCCUCAGAGCGGCUGAGGGAGGAGGUGUCCGUCUUAUCUUCAUCUUAAACAUGUGAAUAUGAGAGACUGGCUCACAUUCACACAAGAAACCAAGGGCAGGAAUGUGAGGUAUUCUGCUUGAGUGAAAGAGGUAGGAAGACAGAAAGAGUUCACUUCCGGCCCUGGGCCCUGUGGCGUGUGCGUCUGGAGUGCUCUCCUUUUUUUUUUUUUUUUUUUUUUUUAAGGUUUUAUUUAUUUGUCAGAGAGAGAGACAGAGCACAAGCAGAGGGAGCGGCAGGGAGAGAGAGAAGCACACUCCCCACUGAAUGUAGAGCCCAGUACGGGACUUGAUCCCAGGACCCAGGUUCAUGACCUGAGCCGAAGGCAGACGCUUCACCCCGUGAGCCACCCAGGCGUCCCUGGAGCGUUCUUCUGAGAGAUGAUUUCCACAGGUGCCGCUGUUUCCCGACCCCCGUCUCGGGGUGUGUCUCUUCCUCUGGUCACUCCCCUUCACUGACCUGCUUGACACUGCAGGCACAAAGACAGCAGUUAGCGCAGUCGCUGUAUAAAAUCUUUAAAUUCCUCUGUGGCAAAAGACACCUUACAUAGAAUUACCAGGAACAGUAACGUGGGGUGAAAAUAUUUACCACAGAGAUGUCGAAAAAGAGACAAAGCCCAUCAUGGGAAACUUACGCAUAUGGUAAAGGGAAAACACCCAAAGGCAUACAAGGAAGGACAUGCACAGCCAUGUUAAAAAUGAAAAACACAGGGGCACCUGGGUGGCACAGCGGUUAAGCGUCUGCCUUCGGCUCAGGGCGUGAUCCCGGCGUUAUGGGAUCGAGCCCCACAUCAGGCCCUUCUGCUAUGAGCCUGCUUCUUCCUCUCCCACUCCCCCUGCUUGUGUUCCCUCUCUCGCUGGCUGUCUCUAUCUCUGUCGAAUAAAUAAAUAAAAUCU
rnacentral:lncRNA from 1 species